rnacentral:rRNA from 1 species
UGGAACUCCAUGUGUAGCGGUGAAAUGCGUAGAUAUAUGGAGGAACACCAGUGGCGAAGGCGGCUCUCUGGUCUGUUACUGACGUUGAGGCUCGAAAGCAUGGGUAGCAAACAGGAUUAGAUACCCUGGUAGUCCAUGCCGUAAACGAUGAAUACUAGGUGUUGGAGGGUUUCCGCCCUUCAUUGCCGCAGAUAACGCAUUAAGUAUUCCGCCUGGGGAGUACGACCGCAAGUUUGAAACUCAAAGGAAUUGACGGGGGCCCGCACAAGUGGUGGAGCAUGUGGUUUAUUUGGAUGAUACGAGAAGAACUUUACCAGCUCUUGACAUCUUGUGCCAACCCAAGAGAUUGGGCGUUCCUUUGGGAGACAGAAUGACAGGUGGUGCAUGGUUGUCGUCAGCUCGUGUCGUAAGAUGUUGGGUUAAGUCCCGCAACGAGCGCAACCUUUAUUAUUAGUUGCCAGCAUUUAGUUGGGCACUCUAGUGAGACUGCCGGUGAUAAACCGGAGGAAGGUGGGGAUGACGUCAAAUCAUCAUGCCCCUUAUGAGUUGGGCUACACACGUGCUACAAUGGA